rnacentral:tRNA from 1 species
AUAUAUUUAGUGUAAAAUGCACAAAAAUUUUUGAAAUUUUAAGAAAUAGUUUAAUUCUAUUAAUUUAUA